rnacentral:misc_RNA from 1 species
AAUUCAAACUAAUUCAAACGUUCGCGCCUUGUCGCCUGCGCCACUGCCCGCGCGUGGCGGUGCCAUCGCUGUUACGUCAGUCCGCACUUGCGCAAUGGCGUUGAUGGCUGCAUGUGCUUCUUGUUUACGCGAAACAUCUGGAUGGACUCCUGGGCUAAAAGCUGCAAUCUGCAGCUUGACAAAGGCCCAGAAGCCAUGUCACGUAGCAAGCAACAUCAACAACUACAAAAGCAUUGCAUUUGAAGCAACUUCAGUGCAAGUUUGCCUCGAGAGACAUGGCUCAAAGCUGAGGAAAUGACUGACUUGGGACGUAUCUUAUUGGCAGCAAAGCUGCCCAAUCAUCGAAGGCGUCGGUCGCCAACGGCGCCGUAGGACACGGAAUUUCAAGCCUCCAGGAAGAGGGAAAAAAGGUUUGCCGCGAAAGGUUUGACAAGGCCAACGAACCUUCAAUAAAGAAAUGUUGCAAAAACGUUGGUAUGCUCAACAUUUUGAGCACCCUAAUGCAACCUGAUGAAGAAA